UUUCUGGGAAGAAAGGAGAGGCUUGAAUGUGGAGUUCUGUCCUUCUGGUGGCUCUGAGAACCCAAGUCCCAGUGUGACUUACCAGGAUCUGAGGUCCUGGGGAGGCAGGGCUCCGGCCUGGAGCUUCCCGUCUCUGUAGCAGGUGGUGCUGGGAACCCUCAGGAUCCAACUGGAAGAAGAAAGAGACCAUUAGGGACCACUCUUGCCCCAUCACAGUGUUGAAGUCAGCCAGCACCUGGGUUCCAGAGCAGCUUCAACCUAUGUUUUUUUUCAACCUGUUCUUUUCAUCCAUCCAGUGACCAUCUCCUAUGGCAAGGCAGCAAGCUCGGUGUUGAAAUACAGACACAAACUAAACUUGGUCCUUGGAGUUUACAAGAUGUAUGCCAAGUGCUUCCAAACGCCACAUGUUCUGCUAUGCGACCUUGGCAUCUUGGAAUCCCCCAGCUUGCUGUUGGCCUUCACUUACCCAAACACUUCCAGCUGUAGGUCUGGCACACAGAUAUUGUCUUCUCCACAGUCCAGCAAGAUCUGAGCCUGGGGAGCAGGUUAGCCUUGAGAGGCGGACUUUAGACCUCCUCCUGGGCUGAAGGCUCCCCGCUCCAGGGCACUGCCCCCAGGUGCCCAGGCCUCUCUCCUCCCGGGUCUCAUCGCUCCCCCAUCUCCUCACCUUGUCCUCGAUGCGGCUCUUGCUCUGGUAAUGUAAGACUGGCCGGAGGCCAUGGCUGUCCACAGGGGCUUGGGGGUCCAGGGAGAAGUUAAGGGCGAUAUGAAUCGGGGAGAGCUUGUCUCGGAAUUCUGACUCGUUCUGGGGGUGGGGAAGAGGUUUUGCUGUGUCAGGGGGCAUUGGGGACUUGGUGGCCCUGCUCCUCAGCCUCUCACAUGUCUCUUGGCCCAUGCAGGGCCCUCAAGAAUCCAGGUGCCCAAACUUGACCAUCCACUUUGUUUCUGAGGCCCUGAAAGCCUGCUUCCCAGUUCCUCUGACAGAAGGGCCCCCUUCCUUGCCCCCAAAGUCCUAAGCCUCUCACUGGACUCUCCUAAUUUCUCUCUCUCUCUCUCUCUUUUUUUUUUUCCAAGAGGGGCCCCAGUUCUCUGUGACGCCCUCCCCAGGCCAGUCUGUUCUCCGCCCUUGGGCCAUACCCUGAGGUAGAUCUUCAUCUCUCUGCAGUCCUCCCGUGCCCCGUUCUGGAUGAGUAGGGUCUGGGUCAGGGUCGCCUGUCUGGAGGCCAGGAACAGUGCCCGCCGUACUCCCCCCUUCUGCUUCUGCCAGUCCAACUGGAGUUCUACUGUGAAGCCUGCAGCCAGGAACAUAUGUUCAGGAGAAUCUGUCUUUCCCUCCUAACCUAUUCAGAGAGAAGGGAGGUGCCAAGGUCCCCUCCCCCUCCUCCCCAACCCCCUUUCCCAAGGCCUAAGAGAUUCAGACAGUCUCUCUCACCAAUGGAGUCAGGAACAUGUUUUCCAGAAGCAUUGAGGCAGAAGCUAAGGUUGAUGCUGGAGGAAGACCAAGAGGAAAGCUGGUGAACGGGCACCCUAGCCUCCGGCUCCCCCCCCCCCCCCCGAA